rnacentral:rRNA from 1 species
AGAGUUUGAUCCUGGCUCAGAUUGAACGCUGGCGGCAUGCUUUACACAUGCAAGUCGGACGGCAGCACAGGGAAGCUUGCUUCUCGGGUGGCGAGUGGCGAACGGGUGAGUAACAUAUCGGAACGUACCGGGUAGCGGGGGAUAACUGAUCGAAAGAUCAGCUAAUACCGCAUACGUCUUGAGAGGGAAAGCAGGGGACCUUCGGGCCUUGCGCUAUCCGAGCGGCCGAUAUCUGAUUAGCUGGUUGGCGGGGUAAAGGCCCACCAAGGCGACGAUCAGUAGCGGGUCUGAGAGGAUGAUCCGCCACACUGGGACUGAGACACGGCCCAGACUCCUACGGGAGGCAGCAGUGGGGAAUUUUGGACAAUGGGCGCAAGCCUGAUCCAGCCAUGCCGCGUGUCUGAAGAAGGCCUUCGGUUGUAAGGACUUUGUCAGGGAAGAAAGGCCGUUGCCAAUAUCGGCGGCCGAUGACGGUACCUGAAGAAUAAGCACCGGCUAACUACGUGCCAGCAGCCGCGGUAAUACGUAGGGUGCGAGCGUUAAUCGGAAUUACUGGGCGUAAAGCGGGCGCAGACGGUUACUUAAGCAGGAUGUGAAAUCCCCGGGCUCAACCCGGGAACUGCGUUCUGAACUGGGUGACUCGAGUGUGUCAGAGGGAGGUGGAAUUCCACGUGUAGCAGUGAAAUGCGUAGAGAUGUGGAGGAAUACCGAUGGCGAAGGCAGCCUCCUGGGAUAACACUGACGUUCAUGUCCGAAAGCGUGGGUAGCAAACAGGAUUAGAUACCCUGGUAGUCCACGCCCUAAACGAUGUCAAUUAGCUGUUGGGCAACUUGAUUGCUUGGUAGCGUAGCUAACGCGUGAAAUUGACCGCCUGGGGAGUACGGUCGCAAGAUUAAAACUCAAAGGAAUUGACGGGGACCCGCACAAGCGGUGGAUGAUGUGGAUUAAUUCGAUGCAACGCGAAGAACCUUACCUGGUUUUGACAUGUGCGGAAUCCUCCGGAGACGGAGGAGUGCCUUCGGGAGCCGUAACACAGGUGCUGCAUGGCUGUCGUCAGCUCGUGUCGUGAGAUGUUGGGUUAAGUCCCGCAACGAGCGCAACCCUUGUCAUUAGUUGCCAUCAUUCGGUUGGGCACUCUAAUGAGACUGCCGGUGACAAGCCGGAGGAAGGUGGGGAUGACGUCAAGUCCUCAUGGCCCUUAUGACCAGGGCUUCACACGUCAUACAAUGGUCGGUACAGAGGGUAGCCAAGCCGCGAGGCGGAGCCAAUCUCACAAAACCGAUCGUAGUCCGGAUUGCACUCUGCAACUCGAGUGCAUGAAGUCGGAAUCGCUAGUAAUCGCAGGUCAGCAUACUGCGGUGAAUACGUUCCCGGGUCUUGUACACACCGCCCGUCACACCAUGGGAGGUGGGGGAGUACCAGAAGUAGGUAGGGUAACCGCAAGGAGUCCGCUUACCACGGUAUGCUUCAUGACUGGGGUGAAGUCGUAACAAGGUAGCCGUAGGGGAACCUGCGGCUGGAUCACCU